CCUACGGGUGGCUGCAGUGGGGAAUAUUGCACAAUGGGCGGAAGCCUGAUGCAGCGACGCCGCGUGAGGGAUGACGGCCUUCGGGUUGUAAACCUCUUUCAGCAGGGACGAAGCGUAAGUGACGGUACCUGCAGAAGAAGCGCCGGCCAACUACGUGCCAGCAGCCGCGGUAAGACGUAGGGCGCGAGCGUUGUCCGGAUUUAUUGGGCGUAAAGAGCUCGUAGGCGGCUUGUCGCGUCGACCGUGAAAACUUGGGGCUCAACCCCAAGCCUGCGGUCGAUACGGGCAGGCUAGAGUUCGGUAGGGGAGACUGGAAUUCCUGGUGUAGCGGUGAAAUGCGCAGAUAUCAGGAGGAACACCGGUGGCGAAGGCGGGUCUCUGGGCCGAUACUGACGCUGAGGAGCGAAAGCGUGGGGAGCGAACAGGAUUAGAUACCCUGGUAGUCAAU
rnacentral:rRNA from 1 species